CUUUCUCAUCUCAAAAUCCAAAUUUCCUAAACAUAGGUAGAAAUACAGAGCUUUUAAAGGAGGGGCCCCUCAGUUCUAAGAUAUUGUGGUUAGCUGUUGUAAUCAUUCCAUCUCUGGAAAGACAAAGCCUGUGAAGUCAGCCAGCUGCCUACCUAGGACUGGCACCACCUGGGAGUUUUCUCUUUUAACAAAGGACUUAAACUGCCUCAGGGAUGCAGGCCAGGCUGCAGUGCCCAAAAAGAGUGAGGGAAGUUUUAAAGAGAUAGAAAAUCUUUUUUUUUCCCUUCAGGCCCUUCUCUCUGUUAAGCUAUAAAUAGUUCAAACAAGGAAAAAAGGUUUUCAUGACUUCUGAAAAACGAAGCACAAAAAAUAAUCAGCACUGUUUUAAACAAAAGGUCAAAUAAAGUAAUCUCAACUAGUUAAUUUUUAUUCUGUUUGAGGUUGGGUUAGCAAUCCUCAUGAAUGUAUCAAGUGUUUUUUUAUUAAAAUAAACUAGUUUCUUUAGGCCUGGAUGCCCUCCAGCUGAGGUAUCUAGAUGUUAAACUCAAAGCAUCUUCAGUUAAAGUGGAAGUAACUUUUAAAAAGAAGAAAAACAGGCGGGCGGGCGGCCGGCCGGCAGGCGGGUGCUGGGGCCGAGGCCGAGGCCGGGAGUGCCUGAGCGCUGGCUGCGACGACGACGGCAGCGGCAGCCCAGCAGGCCCGGAGCGUGUGUCCGCGGAGCCGCGGCGGCUCAGGGUCUGCCCGCGGGCUGCAGUGCGAGUGAGCGGCCCGGCUCCCCUCCUCCCCCGCCCACCGCUGCCGUGAUUGGGUGGAAGAUGGCGCUGGGCGGAUGGAAAUCCUAAUGACAGUCUCCAAAUUCGCCUCCAUCUGUACCAUGGGCGCCAAUGCUUCGCUUCGGCAUUAGAGAAAGAGAUUGGUCCAGAACAGUUUCCAGUCAAUGAGCACUAUUUUAGAUUAGUCAAUUUUGGGAAUACCUGCUACUGCAGUUCAGUUCUUCAAGCACUUUAUUUUUGUCGUCCGUUUCGGGAAAAAGUUCUAGCCUACAAGAGUCAACCCAGGAAGAAGGAGAACCUUCUUACAUGCUUAGCAGAUCUCUUCCAUAGCAUAGCCACUCAGAAGAAAAAGGUUGGAGUAAUACCUCCUAAGAAGUUCAUAACAAGGUUACGGAAAGAAAAUGAGCUUUUUGACAACUACAUGCAACAAGAUGCCCAUGAAUUCUUAAAUUACCUGCUAAAUACAAUUGCUGAUAUUUUACAAGAAGAGAGGAAGCAGGAAAAACAAAGUGGUCGCUUACCUAAUGGUAAUAUUGAUAGUGAAAAUAACAACAGCACACCAGACCCAACGUGGGUUCAUGAGAUUUUUCAGGGAACAUUAACUAAUGAAACCAGAUGUCUUACUUGUGAAACUAUAAGCAGCAAAGAUGAAGAUUUUUUAGAUCUUUCUGUUGACGUGGAACAAAACACAUCAAUUACUCACUGCUUAAGGGGUUUUAGCAACACAGAAACUCUCUGCAGUGAAUACAAAUAUUACUGUGAAGAGUGUCGCAGCAAACAGGAAGCACAAAAACGGAUGAAAGUUAAAAAACUGCCCAUGAUUCUAGCUCUACACCUGAAGAGAUUCAAAUAUAUGGAUCAGCUUCAUCGAUAUACAAAACUUUCUUACCGGGUAGUUUUUCCUUUAGAACUUCGUCUAUUUAACACUUCAGGCGAUGCAACCAAUCCAGACAGAAUGUAUGACCUUGUUGCUGUUGUGGUUCACUGUGGAAGUGGUCCCAAUCGAGGCCAUUAUAUUGCAAUAGUUAAAAGUCAUGAUUUUUGGUUGUUGUUCGAUGACGACAUUGUAGAAAAAAUAGAUGCACAAGCUAUUGAAGAAUUCUACAGGUUGACAUCAGACAUCUCAAAGAACUCUGAGUCUGGUUACAUCCUUUUCUACCAGUCUCGGGACUGAGGGGGAAUCACGAUGAAAAGAUACUUUCUGCCUCAUUUCUUCUCUGGUUAUUUUGGAAAGGAUCAAGCACUGUUUUUUCACAAAAAGAGAAAUGCAGGAAGCUCAGGGGGCAGCAGCACACUUUGCACACAGUGAAGCAAAGACGAUGGAUAACAAGCCCUUCCGAUCAUGGUAGUCGAUUUAUUUGCUCAGGUAUCAUGCUGUCCGUACAGUUCCAUAUGACAAGGAAGUGAAAGCAGAGAUACCAGCUCCUCUUGUAAAACAGCCUUCCAGUUACUGACACACAUCUUCUCUUCAUUAAUUGCACCAGUAAUUAUUUGAGUUCCUUGGGGGUGCAGUAGAAGGAAUUGGAAUCUGUGCUAGCUUGUAUUGAUAAUUUAAGGAGAUGAUGCUGAACACGCUGCAUAAAUUCGUCUGUGUUCAGUUAUGUAUAAAAGCAUAUUUACUGGUCUUUUCAAGAGUAAACCAGAAAUACUUUUGGGCCCAACACUUGCAGUUGCCUUCCUGAUGUAAAAAACUAACAAAUGCUAGAUAAUCCAGUGUCAGGAAGACAAAUAUGUUUUGCUUCUCUGAAGAAGCUUAUAAUAAUAUACAGUAUAUGUAUAUGUAGGGAACAAUUGGUCAAAAGUGGCUUUUUGUUUCCCCAAGGGGAAAGACUGGCUUUGUAAUUAUAACUUUUUCCUUAUUUAUUUUACUUAAAACUGGUAGAGUCUAAGUAUUGUAUGAAGUGCCCAUGAUUCUGUCAGUAAAUUUGAGCACAUUUUUCUUAGUUUAUGUCAGUUUAACUAGUCCUUUUGUUUGUUCUAUUUUUAAGGUGAACUUUAAAUUCUAUCUAAAAUCGGUAAGAUACCUUGAAAACUUGCAAUGAGAGGAGGUGAAUAUUCUUUUUCAGGAGGAACUGAUAUCUCUGGCUAAAUAUUUGUCCUUUUACUAUAGUUUAUAAGUCAGUUAUGUAUUGAGCUUUAAUUUCAGUAAAAUAAAAAACUAU